UACAGAGGGGGCAAGCGUUGUUCGGAAUUACUGGGCGUAAAGGGCGCGUAGGCGGCCCGCUAAGUCGAACGUGAAAUCCCCGAGCUCAACUCGGGAACUGCGUCCGAUACUGGCGGGCUUGAAUCCGGGAGAGGGAUGCGGAAUUCCAGGUGUAGCGGUGAAAUGCGUAGAUAUCUAUCGGAACGCCAAAGGUGAAGACAGGCCGCUGGGCUUGUACUGACGCUGAAACACGAAAGCGUGGGUCGCGAAUGGG
rnacentral:rRNA from 1 species